rnacentral:lncRNA from 1 species
AACCUGAUAUAUCGGAUCCUCAUACUUGCGGCAUAUGACAGCCCAAUCCUCGAUACUGAUGCUGUCAUAUGACUGCUGUCGCGCUGCCUCCACCCCUUGAUCUUACACUACAGCAUACCAGUGGUGAUGAAUGCGAUGUCGGUAAUCCUUGAAAUAUAAGCAUAGAUGAUCAUCCAUAGCUCGCUGCACGUAAUCGUGCUCAAAAUCAAUAAUAUCAAAUAUAGCCUGCCAAUAACAAAUAUUAUAACAACAUAGUGCUAAUUAAAUAUUUUAUUAAAUAUUAUUUUAUCUGUAAGUGGCUAUAAAAGACCUCCAUCUGAGCUGAUGUAACGUAAUGAC